UACGGAGGGUGCGAGCGUUGUCCGGAAUCACUGGGCGUAAAGAGCUUGUAGGCGGUUUGUCGCGUCUGCCGUGAAAAUCCGGGGCUCAACCCCGGACCUGCGGUGGGUACGGGCAGACUAGAGUGUGGUAGGGGAGACUGGAAUUCCUGGUGUAGCGGUGAAAUGCGCAGAUAUCAGGAGGAACACCGAUGGCGAAGGCAGGUCUCUGGGCCACUACUGACGCUGAGAAGCGAAAGCGUGGGGAGCGAACAGG
rnacentral:rRNA from 1 species